UACGGGGGGGGCAAGCGUUGUUCGGAAUUACUGGGCGUAAAGGGCUCGUAGGCGGCCAACUAAGUCAGACGUGAAAUCCCCAGGCUCAACCUGGGAACUGCGUCUGAUACUGGAUGGCUUGAAUCCGGGAGAGGGAUGCAGAAUUCCUGGUGUAGCGGUGAAAUGCGCAGAUAUCAGGAGGAACACCGAUGGCGAAGGCAGGUCUCUGGGCCACUACUGACGCUGAGAAGCGAAAGCAUGGGGAGCGAACAGG
rnacentral:rRNA from 1 species